GAUGAACGCUGGCGGCGUGCUUAACACAUGCAAGUCGAACGAAGCAGUAUGACGGAAGCCUCCGGGUGGAAGACAUGCAGACUGAGUGGCGGACGGGUGAGUAACGCGUGGGCAACCUGCCUCAUACAGAGGGAUAGCAGCUGGAAACGGCUGAUAAUACCCCAUAACCCGCUAGUGCCGCAUGGCACGGACGGAAAAGAUUUAUCGGUAUGAGAUGGGCCCGCGUCUGAUUAGCUAGUUGGAAGGGUAACGGCCUACCAAGGCAACGAUCAGUAGCCGGCUUGAGAGAGUGACCGGCCACAUUGGGACUGAGACACGGCCCAAACUUCUACGGGAGGCAGCAGUGGGGAGUAUUGCACAAUGGGGGAAACCCUGAUGCAGCGACGCCGCGUGAGUGAAGAAGUAUUUCGGUAUGUAAAGCUCUAUCAGCAGGGAAGAAAAUGACGGUACCUGACUAAGAAGCCCCGGCUAACUACGUGCCAGCCGCCGCCGUAA
rnacentral:rRNA from 1 species